UGGCGUAAAACGGACGUAAAUACCGGUGGAAAGAAAAUUUUAGUGGCAAUUAGAUAUUGUUUUUUAAACGCAGUGUAUUAAACUAAAUAAAACAAGAAGUUUGUUUAACAAACAAACUUUUUUUGGCAUAAACAAAAUAUGUGAAAAAAAAACUAGAGAAAAGUGUAAAGGAAAUAUAAUAAAGUGUGUGUUAAUAAAUUUGCUGAUAAGUCAUGGUAACAAUAAAUUUUUUAUUGUCUGUGGUUGUAAUUUAAGUGCAUCUUGCAAAAAAGCAAAAACAACUUAAAUAAUAUAAAUUGCUAAAAAAAAACAUAGUUUUUUUGGAGCAGUUAGUUAACAAACUACUAAACGCAAAAUACAUAGUAAUAAUAAGCAGCCAAAAAAUUAAUGUGCGGAAACACGUUGUAUUUGUUUUGGUUUUAAUUGUACUAAUUAACUAACAUUAAUAAAAUAAGAUCUAUAACAAAAUUCUCAUAUAAAAAAAAAUUAAUUAUCAAUGAAAUAUUAAAAAAAAAACGAAAUUACUUUCAAUAAACAGCUGUUGGUUAUAAUUCAAUAUACAAUUGAUAACAGUUAAGUUAAAAAAUAUAUAAAAAAUAUUAAAAAAAUAUUACUACUGAUUAAUGUCUAUUCAUCUAUUACUAUCACAAGCAAAAAAAAAAAAAAAAAGCAACAAUUUAAAAAAAGUAUAAAAAAAUAUGCAGAUUUAAUAAAAAAAACAAGUGCAAAAGUUUAAUAAAAAAAUUUAAAUAAUAAAAAAAUACAUAGUUAUACAUGUGUGUUGUUAAACUUUAAUAAAUAACAACUGUGUAUAAAAAAAAUUUAAUAAAUUCAUUAAAUAAUUGAAGUGUUAAAAUCUACAUUUCAAAUCUAAUAUAUGCAAAAGAAAUUGUGAAUUUAAUUAAUUGAAGUGUUAGUUUUAAACAAUUGUAAUUGAAAGCAACAUUUUCAACAACCAUUAAGGAUUUCAUUUAAAUAUUAAAUAAAUUUGGUUUGAUGUUUAGUAAAAUAACUCUUUAACAAUCGGAUUUUAUCGCAACUUUAAAACAACAGCAAAAUCUUUUCGAACAACAGCUUUCUUAUAUUUAUGUAAGUAGAUUUUCCUUUUUUGUUUAAUAUUUU